UCCAGACUCCUACGGGAGGCAGCAGUGGGGAAUAUUGCACAAUGGGGGAAACCCUGAUGCAGCAACGCCGCGUGAGUGAAGAGGUAUUUCGGUAUGUAAAGCUCUAUCAGCAGGGAAGAAGAUGACGGUACCUGAGUAAGAAGCCCCGGCUAACUACGUGCCAGCAGCCGCGGUAAUACGUAGGGGGCAAGCGUUAUCCGGAUUUACUGGGUGUAAAGGGAGCGUAGACGGUGAGACAAGUCUGAAGUGAAAGCCCGGGGCUCAACCCCGGGACUGCUUUGGAAACUGCCUGACUGGAGUGCUGGAGAGGCAAGCGGAAUUCCUAGUGUAGCGGUGAAAUGCGUAGAUGUCAGGAGGAACACCGGUGGCGAAGGCGGCCUGCUGGACUGCGACUGACGUUGAGGCCCGAAAGCGUGGGGAGCAAACAGGAUUAGAUACCCGAGUAG
rnacentral:rRNA from 1 species